ensembl:lncRNA
GAAAAAAAUAAUAGAAAGAAAUUAGGAUGAGGGAAAGCGCAUGUGGCACUUCCUCUAUCUUCUGCUGGCGCUCCUGUCCUCCGCAGGUGCUCGCUGUCCUCCAAUGGCACUCCACUUCUAUCCUCUGACAGCGCGCUAGUAACCUCCGCAGGUGUGCUUCCUCUAAUCUCCGCCGGCGCGUUGCAUCUAUACUCCGAUGGCGCUCCCGUCCGCCGCAGGUGCUCCCUGUUCUCUGCAGAUGCUCCCGUCCUCUGCAGGCGCUCGCUGUCCUCUGCUGGUGCUCCACAUCUAUCCUCCAAUGGCACACAACCUGUAACCUCCGCCAGGGUGCUACCUCUUAUCCUCUGCUGGCGCGCUACCUCUAUCUUCUGACGGUGCUCUGUCCUCGGCAGGCGCUCCCUAUUCUCCGCAGGUGCUCCCGUCCUCUACAGGUGCUUGCCGCCCUCAGCAGGUGCUCCACCUCUGUCUUCUGGAAGCGCGCUAUCUCUAAACUCCACUGACGCGCUACCUCUAUCGUCUGACGGUGCUCCCAUUCUCUGCAGACGUUCCCUGUUCUCCGCAGGUGCUCCCAUCCUCCGCAGAUGCUCCAUCACUAUCAUCCAAUGGCGCGCUACCUCUAUCUUCUGACAGUGCUCCUGUCAUCCGCCGGCACUCCCUGUUCUCCUCAGCUACUCCCAUCCUCCGCAAAUGCUCCACAUCUAUCCUCCGACGGCGCACUAUCUGUAACCUCCACCAGUGUCCUACCUCCUAUCUUCUGCUGGCGCUCUACCUCUAUCCACUGGCGGCACACUACGUCUAUCCGUUGCUGGUGUGUUACCACUAAACUCAGCCAGCGAGAUACCUCUAUCUUCUAACGGCGCUCCAGUCCUCCGCAGGUGCUUCCUGUUUUCCUCAGGUGCUCUCGUCCUCUGCAGGCACUCGCUGUCCUCCACAGGCACUCCACCUCUAUCAUCUGACAGAACACUACAUCCAACCUCGGCCGGUGCACUACAUCCAUCCUCCAAUGGCACGCUACCUCUAACCUCCGCUGGCGUGCUACCUCAAUCUUCUGACGGUGCUCCCAUCCCCCACAGGUGCCGCACCUCUUUCCUCUGCUGGCGCACUUCCUCAAUCCUCUGCCGGUGCACUACCUCUACACUCUGAUGAUGUUCCCAUACUGUGCAGGCAAUCCCUGUUCUCCACAGGUGCUCCUGUCCUCUACAGGCGCUCACCGUCCUCUGGAGGCAAUCCACCUCAAUCUUCUGAAGGCAUGCUAUUGCAAAACCCAGCCAGCGAAUUACUUCUAUUUUCUUACGGUGCUCCCAUCGUCCGCAGGCGCUCCCUGUUCUACGCAGGUGCUCCCAUCCUCCGUAGAAACUCCACCUCUAUCAUCGGAUGGCGAAACAGAACCUCCACCUUGAUGCUCCGACAGCGCACUACCGGUAACCUCCGCCUGUGCACUAUCUUCUACCUCUAUCUUCCGAUCGCGCUCCUGUCAUUUGCAGGCACACCUUGUUCUCUGCAGGUGCUCCCGUACUCCGUAGAAACUCCACCUCUAUCAUCGGAUGGCGCACUACAUCUAACCUCUGCCAGCAAACAAACUCUGUUUUCUGACGGUGAUCCCAUCCUCUGCAAUCACUCCCUGUUCUCCACAGGUGCUCCUUUCAACCACUGACAUUCUACCUCUAUCCACGAACAGCACACUACCUCUAACCUCCGAUAGCGCGCUAACUCUUAUCCUCUGCCAGGAUGCUACUGCUAACCUCCGACGGCGCACGACCUCUAUCUUCAGAUGGUGCUCCCGUCAUCUGCAGGUGCUCCCUGUUUUCCGCAGGUGCUCCUGUCCUCGGCAGAUGCUCCACCUCUAUCCCGUGAUGGCACACUACAUAUAACCUCUGCCGGCGCACUAAUUCUGUCUUCUGACGGCGCUCCUGUCCUCCACAGUCACUCCCUGUUCACCACAGGUGCUCCCAUCCUCCGCAGACCCUCAACGUCGAUCCAGUGACAGAGCACUACCUCUAACCUCUGCCAGCAUGCUACCUCUUUCUUCUGACAGCGCACCCAUCAUCUGCAGGCGCUCCUUGUUCUCCACAGGUGCUCCUGUCCUCUGCAGAUGCUCCACCUUUAUCCUCUGAUGAUGCACUACAUCUAACCUCUGCCGGCGCACUAACUAUGCCUUCUGACAGUGCUCCCGUCCUCCAGAGGUGCUCCCUGUUCUCCGCAGGUGCUACGAUCCUCCGCAGACCCUCCACCUCGAUCCUCUGAUGGCACACUACCUCUAACCUCUGCCGGCGCACUACCUCUAUCUUCUAACCACGCUCCCAUCAUCUGCAAGCAGUCUCUGUUCUCCGCAGAUGCUCUCGUCCUCCGCAAACGCUCCAACUCGAUCCUCUGAUGAUGCACUACAUGUAACCUCUGCCGGCGCACUAACUCUGUCUUCUGAUGGUGCUCCUGUCCUUGGCAAUCGCUUCCUGUUCUCCGCAGGUGCUCCCAUCCUCCGCAGAAGUUCCAGCUCUAUCCUCUGAGAGUGCACUACCUCUAUCCUCUGCCGGGGCACUAACUAUGCAUUCUGACAGUGCUGCCAUCAUCUACAGAUGUUCUGUGUUCUCUGCAGGUAACCCCAUCAACCACAGGUGCUUUACAUCUAUCCUCUGAAGGCACACUACAUCUAACCUCUGCCGGCGCACUAACUAUGCCUGCUGACAGCACUCCUGUCCUCCGCAGGUGCUCCCUGUUCUCAUGAGGUACUCCGAUCCUCCGCAGACACUCCACCUUGAUCCUCUGAUGGCACACUACCUCUAACCUCUGCUGGCACAAUACCUAUAUCUUCUAACCACGCUCCCAUCAUCUGUAAGCAGUCUCUGUUCUCCACAGAUGGUCUUGUCCUCCGCAGAUGCUCCAACUCGAUCCUCUGAUGAUGCACUACAUCUAACCUCUGCCGGCGCACUAUGUCUUCUGACAGCGCUCCUGUCCUCCGCAGGUGCUCCCUGUUCGCUGCAGGUGCUCCCAUCCUUCGCAGACCCUCCACCUUGAUCCUCUGAUGGCACACUACCUCUAACCUCUGCUGGCACACUACCUCUAUCUCCUAACCACGCUCCCAUCAUCUGCAAGUGGUCUCUGUUCUCCGCAGAUGCUCUUGUCCUCCGCAGAUGCUCCAACUCGAUCCUCUGAUGAUGCACUACCUCCAAACUCUGCCGGCGCACUACCUCUAUCUUCUGACAACGCUCCCAUCAUCUGCCGGCGCUCUGUGCUCUCUGCAGUUGCUCCCGUCCUCCGCAGAUGCUCCAUCUAUAUCCUCUGAAGGCACACUACAUCUAACCUCUGCCGGCGCACUAACUAUGUCUUCUGACAGCACUCCUGUCCUCCGCAGGUGCUCCCUGUUCUCCUCAGGUACAUCAAUCCUCCCCAGACGCUCCACCUCGAUCCUCUGAUGGCACACUACCUCUAACCUCUGCCGGCGCACUACCUCUAUCUUCUAACCACGCUCCCAUCAUCUGCAAGCGGUCUCUGUUCUCCGCGGAUGCUCUUGUCAUCUGCAGACGCUCCAACUCGAUCCUCUGAAGGCACACUACCUCUAACCUCUGCCGGCGCACUAACUCUGUCUUCUGAUGGUGCUCCUGUCCUUGGCAAUCGCUUCCUGUUCUCCGCAGGUGCUCCUAUCCUCCACAGAUGCUCCACCUCUAUUUUCUGAUGGCACACUACAUCUAACCUCUGCUGACGCACUAACUAUGCCUUCCGACAGCACUCCUGCCCUCCGCAGGUGCUCCCUGUUCUCCUGAGGUACUCCGAUCCUAGGCAGACCCUCCACCUUGAUCCUCUGAUGGCACACUACCUCUAACCUCUACUGGCGCACAACCUCUAUCUUCUAACCACGCUCCCAUCAUCUGCAAGCGGUCACUGUUCUCCGCAGAUGCUCUUGUCCUCUGCAGACACUCCAACUCGAUCUUCUGAUGAUGCACUACAUCUAACCUCUGCCGGCGCACUAACUCUGUCUUCUGACAGUGCUCCUGUCCUCCGCAGGUGCUCCCUGUUCGCUGCAGGUGCUCCCAUCCUUCGCAGACCCUCCACCUUGAUCCUUUGAUGGCACACUACCUCUAACCUCUGCUGGCGCACUACCUCUAUCUUCUAACCACGCUCCCAUCAUCUGCAACCGGUCUCUGUUCUCCGCAGAUGCUCUUGUCCUCCGCAGACGCUCCAACUCGAUCCUCUGAUGAUGCACUACCUCGAAACUCUGCCGGCGCACUACCUCUAUCUUCUGACAACGCUCCCAUCAUCUGCCGGUGCUCUGUGCUCUCUGCAGUUGCUCCCGUCCUCCGCAGAUGCUCCAUCUAUAUCCUCUGAAGGCACACUACAUCUAACCUCUGCCGGCGCACUAAC